GGGUCUGGUACUUCCUCCGUACAGUGAAUAUUACAUCCAGGCUGAUCUCAGCGAUGUCAUGUUACAGCUGCAGUAUUUACAGUCUCUGCUGCCGAACUCGUUUGAGUCGGCUGGUCACGUGUUUCUAGCUCCCAGAGAAUACUGCAAGCGUCUGCAGAUGGCUGAGAAUAACACACAGUUCCUGGCAGACUUCCUGUCUCUGAUGGUGGAGAUCUCACCUGAAUCUGAA